rnacentral:lncRNA from 1 species
CUGGCUAUAAGUCCUUGACCUUUAGUCCCAUGUGACAAUAUACCUGAGCAUCCAGUGAUAAGCAUUCCAGAAACUACGGUCGUUAUAAGGAGAACAAACAGAGCCCUAAAAACCUGUUGGAAUAGCUGACAAGAUCAUGAAAUAAUUAUUGGAGAUCUCUAGAUGAUGGUGAAGAAUUUAGAACUGUAAAUACAAGGAAUCCCAAGCAGUUUCAGGAGUUACUCACACAGAAACUCAGAACAAGUCAGCUGGAAUAACAGAAGAAUUUUUUUCUGUGAUGCCCUCCAGUCGUCCUCUGCUGCAAUCUAAGCUAUCAUGCUGAG